rnacentral:rRNA from 1 species
UGACGGGUUGCGGUCGUUGCGGGACUUAACCCAACAUUUCACAACACGAGCUGACGACAGCCAUGCAGCACCUGUCUCACAGUUCCCGAAGGCACCAAUGCAUCUCUGGAAAGUUCUGUGGAUGUCAAGACCAGGUAAGGUUCUUCGCGUUGCAUCGAAUUAAACCACAUGCUCCACCGCUUGUGCGGGCCCCCGUCAAUUCAUUUGAGUUUUAACCUUGCGGCCGUACUCCCCAGGCGGUCGAUUUAACGCGUUAGCUCCGGAAGCCACGCCUCAAGGGCACAACCUCCAAAUCGACAUCGUUUACGGCGUGGACUACCAGGGUAUCUAAUCCUGUUUGCUCCCCACGCUUUCGCACCUGAGCGUCAGUCUUUGUCCAGGGGGCCGCCUUCGCCACCGGUAUUCCUCCAGAUCUCUACGCAUUUCACCGCUACACCUGGAAUUCUACCCCCCUCUACAAGACUCCAGCCUGCCAGUUUCGAAUGCAGUUCCCAGGUUGAGCCCGGGGAUUUCACAUCCGACUUGACAGACCGCCUGCGUGCGCUUUACGCCCAGUAAUUCCGAUUAACGCUUGCACCCUCCGUAUUACCGC